GACGAACGCUGGCGGCGGGCUUAACACAUGCAAGUCGAACGGAAAGGCCCUGCUUUUGUGGGGUGCUCGAGUGGCGAACGGGUGAGUAACACGUGAGUAACCUGCCCUUGACUUUGGGAUAACUUCAGGAAACUGGGGCUAAUACCGUAUAGGAGCUCCUGCUGCAUGGUGGGGGUUGGAAAGUUUCGGCGGUUGGGGAUGGACUCGCGGCUUAUCAGCUUGUUGGUGGGGUAGUGGCUUACCAAAGCUUUGACGGGUAGCCGGCCUGAGAGGGUGACCGGCCACAUUGGGACUGAGAUACGGCACAGACUCCUACGGGAGGCAGCAGUGGGGAAUAUUGCACAAUGGGAGGAAGCCUGAUGCAGAAACGCCGCGUGCGGGAUGACGGCCUUCGGGUUGUAAACAGCUUUCGCCUGUGACGAAGCGUGAGUGACGGUAAUGGGUAAAGAAGCACCGGCUAACUACGUG
rnacentral:rRNA from 1 species